GAUGGUAAAUGGUAAAUGGUAAAUGGUAAAUGUCAUGGAAAUUACAUGACUUUUCUGAUUUUAAUGAUAAUUUAAAGGACUUAGUCCAUUGUUGGGACUUAAAGGACACUUUUGUGUAUCCCCAGUGUUUCAUCAAAACUGGUGCAGUUGGACCAAGGUGGGUACAAAUUUGAUUUAAGCCUUUGUUUGUUUUCACUGUGUUUGUUUAAUCGUGUGUGGCAGUAAUGGCUAAAGGUGACGUGACUGGUGAAGGUUAAUACUUUUUUUUUAGCUGGUGUGUGUGUUGGGUGGGACUGUUGCCAUGAGAUUUUCCCACCUGUGUCAAUGGUUCCAUUAUCUGUUAUCGAAAUGCAAAGAGGGACUCUUUCUUAAUUUGUAUAAGAAACAACUUGGGAGGUCCUAUCCUACCAAUAACUCAUUCUUGAGUUUGAGAAGCACUUUAUGACACUGUCAGUUAUAACAAUUUAGCUGCAUUCAAUAACACUGGUGUUUACUUUAUGCAUUUAAUAGAAGAUAUAACCUACAAACUCUGUUUAUUUUGUUUUUAUAGCUAAGGACUGUCUAUAACUUACUGCUUCCACCAGACUGUUGGCACUGCCUCUCUUUUGCUGGAAGUAUGAGACUCUUUCUGCAGGUAGCUGCAGACGUGACGGGGAGUGGCUGCGGCUUUGAGAGCCAUCAUGGCAAUCUGUGUACCACGAACUCCUCUUCACUGCUCCAGGGAGGCUGCCCACACUGCCGGGACCUCGCCAGUCCACCUGAACACAAACAUAAUAUGUACAUGUUUUAAAAAAUUAGAUGAAGACAAAUGAUUGUAGGAAAAUGAGAGUAACUGCAUAUCUUGCUUUUGGUGCCAUCAACAAAAAUCAGCAGUUUUCUUUACAGCAGUUUGACAUUCCAAAUAAAUAUAUAGGUCAAUUUCUGUUAAUGACAACACUAAAGUUAUAGCCAGUAAAAUUUAAUUUAAAAUAUUAGGUCACAGACACUAUGAUUAGUAUGAUUAUCUAAAGUACUUCUUCUUUUGUGAUACAUAUUAAAGUCAAGAUUUUUCUGUUUGUAGAAAGGAUGUAUGUGCUGUGUUCAGUACAAAACCUGUAUUAGAGGUGUAUAGCCGGGCGAGCAGUCACGACUGAUGGGGGAGGCAGGGGGAGUGGCCCAAGAUCGCAGUGACCUUGUCGGAGAUAACCGGUGAAGUUUGCUGGCAUCUAGACCGGCCACCGCCAUCACCUGAGUGUAGUGGAAGAGCUGUGCAUGAUGGAGAAGGAGGGUCAUCUAUACUACUUUUUCUGCGAAGACAUUCAAAACUGAACGUAGGGGAGUGGGAGGCUGAGGAGACACAUGAAAUGAAAAUACCUGUCCUUUGUGAGCAUGAUGUCAUCCUCAUGAAAUUCCUCCCCACUAAAGUAUUCUCCUGAACCCCGCUCAUCAUCACUGUCUCCGCCCCCUGGCUCCUCUCGACGGAUGGUGGG